UUUAAACUGUCCUCAGCCUUCCCCGUGGGAUCGGCUGGUUCUCCACGAGUUCCGAGCAGAAGAGGGGCCGGCGUUUAAGUCAAAGGCCUUGGGGCUCCGAGUCCGUUCGUCUCCCGUCCUGUGAAGGCGCGACCCAGUUCACAUGUCUGUAAAGUGAAGCCAUUAGUCCCUGCUUCGUGGUGAGAAAACUGGAAGGCGGAACGAGGAGGCCGCCGGUCCCAACCCGGCCCAGGAGCAUCUUUCUUCGCAGACCGUUUCCUGGCGAGAUCCUGCGCAGCCGAGGCUGUGUUAGCGCCAAGGACUUCCAGCAGCUGUUAGCAGAGCUUGAGCAGGAGGUGGAGCGACGGCGGCGGCUGGGGCAGGAGUCAGCAGCUAGGAAAGCCCUCAUCGCGAGUUCCUACCACCCGGCACGGCCUGAGGUCUACGACUCACUGCAGGAUGCAGCUCUGGCCCCCGAGUUUCUGGCCGUGGCUGAGUACAGCGUGUCCCCGGGCGCAGACCUCAAGGGCCUUCUCCAGCGGCUGGAGACAGUAUCGGGGCCCAGCAAGAAAGAACAGCCCCUUCUGGCCUUCCUGCUGGGGGACAGAGGCUCCCAGAGCCACUUCUGAGUUGGAGUGAUGAAACAGGAAGACUGAAGUCCAGGCCUGGCCGGCCCACGGCCAUAUUUAGGCCAACAGACCAUCCCUCCUUCCACAGAGGAGAAGCGCAUCUACCGGGUGCCUGUGUUCACAGCACCCUUCUGCCAGGCCUUGCUGGAAGAGCUGGAGCACUUCGAGCAGUCGGACAUGCCUAAGGGGAGGCC
rnacentral:sRNA from 1 species